AGUGAACGCUGGCGGUAGGCCUAACACAUGCAAGUCGAACGGCAGCACAGUAAGAGCUUGCUCUUACGGGUGGCGAGUGGCGGACGGGUGAGGAAUACAUCGGAAUCUAUUUUUUCGUGGGGGAUAACGUAGGGAAACUUACGCUAAUACCGCAUACGCCCUACGGGUGAAAGCAGGGGAUCUUCGGACCUUGCGCGAUUGAAUGAGCCGAUGUCGGAUUAGCUAGUUGGCGGGGUAAAGGCCCACCAAGGCGACGAUCCGUAGCUGGUCUGAGAGGAUGAACAGCCACACUGGAACUGAGACACGGGCCAGACUCCUACGGGGGGCAGCAGUGGGGAAUAUUGGACAAUGGGCGCAAGCCUGAUCCAGCCAUACCGCGUGGGUGAAGAAGGCCUUCGGGUUGUAAAGCCCUUUUGUUGGGAAAGAAAAGCAGCAGGUUAAUACCCCGCUGUUCUGACGGUACCCAAAGAAUAAGCACCGGCUAACUUCGUG
rnacentral:rRNA from 1 species